rnacentral:rRNA from 1 species
ACUCCGACCGGAGACGGAAGGAGUGCUUUUAUUAGAUCAAAACCAAUCGGUGGCGGGUUCGCUCGUCAUCGUACAACUUGGUGACUCUGAAUAACUUUAUGCUGAUCGCACGGUCUCGCACCGGCGACGCAUCUUUCAAAUGUCUGCCUUAUCAACUGUCGAUGGUAGGUUCUGCGCCUACCAUGGUUGUAACGGGUAACGGGGAAUCAGGGUUCGAUUCCGGAGAGGGAGCCUGAGAAACGGCUACCACAUCCAAGGAAGGCAGCAGGCGCGCAAAUUACCCACUCCCGGCACGGGGAGGUAGUGACGAAAAAUAACGAUACGGGACUCAUCCGAGGCCCCGUAAUCGGAAUGAGUACACUCUAAACCCUUUAACGAGGAUCAAUUGGAGGGCAAGUCUGGUGCCAGCAGCCGCGGUAAUUCCAGCUCCAAUAGCGUAUAUUAAAGUUGUUGCGGUUAAAAAGCUCGUAGUCGAAUCUGUGUCUUGCGCCGCCGGUUCAUCGUUCGCGGUGUUAACUGGCGUGUCGCAGGACGUCCUGCCGGUGGGCUUAGCUCGCAAGGGCGGCCCAACUCAAUCCUGCCGCGGUGCUCUUCACUGAGUGUCGAGGUGGGCCGGCACGUUUACUUUGAACAAAUUAGAGUGCUUAAAGCAGGCUAAAACUUCGCCUGAAUACUGUGUGCAUGGAAUAAUGGAAUAGGACCUCGGUUCUAUUUUGUUGGUUUUCGGAACCCCGAGGUAAUGAUUAAUAGGAACGGAUGGGGGCAUUCGUAUUGCGACGUUAGAGGUGAAAUUCUUGGAUCGUCGCAAGACGGACAGAAGCGAAAGCAUUUGCCAAAAACGCUUUCAUUGAUCAAGAACGAAAGUUAGAGGUUCGAAGGCGAUCAGAUACCGCCCUAGUUCUAACCAUAAACGAUGCCAGCUAGCGAUCCGUCGACGUUCCUCCGAUGACUCGACGGGCAGCUUCCGGGAAACCAAAGCUUUUGGGUUCCGGGGGAAGUAUGGUUGCAAAGCUGAAACUUAAAGGAAUUGACGGAAGGGCACCACCAGGAGUGGAGCCUGCGGCUUAAUUUGACUCAACACGGGAAACCUCACCAGGCCCGGACACCGGAAGGAUUGACAGAUUGAGAGCUCUUUCUUGAUUCGGUGGGUGGUGGUGCAUGGCCGUUCUUAGUUGGUGGAGCGAUUUGUCUGGUUAAUUCCGAUAACGAACGAGACUCUAGCCUGCUAACUAGGCGUAUUUUGACAUCGCAAAGGCCCGCCGGUAUCGGGGUUCGCUCCUUUAUCGUGCGCGGUUUUUACUGUCGGCGUACAAACAAUUCUUCUUAGAGGGACAGGCGGCUUCUAGCCGCACGAGAUUGAGCAAUAACAGGUCUGUGAUGCCCUUAGAUGUUCUGGGCCGCACGCGCGCUACACUGAAGGAAUCAGCGUGUCCUCCCUGGCCGAGUGGCCCGG